UACCAGCACCCCGAGUGGUCGGGACGAUUAUUGGGCCUAAAGCAGUCCGUAGCCGGCCUUACAAGUCCUCCGUUAAAUCCAGCUGCUUAACAGAUGGGCUGCGGAGGAUACUAUAAGACUAGGAGGCAGGAGAGGCAAGCGGUACUCAGUGGGUAGGGGUAAAAUCCGUUGAUCCAUUGAAGACCACCAGUGGCGAAGGCGGCUUACUGGUCCAUAACUGACGCUGAGGUGACGAAAGCGUGGGGAGCAAACAGG
rnacentral:rRNA from 1 species